AACGAACGCUGGCGGCGUGCCUAACACAUGCAAGUCGAGCGAGAAAGCCCGCAAGGGUGAGUAAAGCGGCGCACGGGUGCGUAACACGUGGGUAAUCUGCCCUAGAGUCUGGAAUAACUCGCCGAAAGGCGUGCUAAUGCCGGAUAAGACCACGGGAGCUUCGGCUCCUGCGGGAAAAGGUGGCCUCUGUAUACAAGCUAUCACUCUAGGAUGAGCCCGCGGCCCAUCAGCUAGUUGGCGGGGUAAUGGCCCACCAAGGCAACGACGGGUAGCUGGUCUGAGAGGACGAUCAGCCACACUGGAACUGAGAUACGGUCCAGACUCCUACGGGAGGCAGCAGUGGGGAAUCUUGCGCAAUGGGCGAAAGCCUGACGCGGCAACGCCGCGUGUGUGAUGAAGGUCUUCGGAUCGUAAAGCACUGUCGCGAGGGACGAAUAAGGGUCGGGUGAACAAUCCGGUCCGAUGACGGUACCUCGAGGGGAAGCACCGGCUAACUCUGUGCCAGCCGCCGCGGUAAAAC
rnacentral:rRNA from 1 species